rnacentral:rRNA from 1 species
AACGCGAAGAACCUUACCAGGGCUUGACAUGGGCAGGACGCACUCAGAGAUGGGUGUUCCCCGCAAGGGGCCUGCUGCACAGGUGCUGCAUGGCUGUCGUCAGCUCGUGUCGUGAGAUGUUGGGUUAAGUCCCGCAACGAGCGCAACCCUCGCCUUCAGUUGCCAUCAGGUUUGGCUGGGCACUCUGAAGGAACUGCCGGUGACAAGCCGGAGGAAGGUGGGGAUGACGUCAAGUCCUCAUGGCCCUUAUGUCCUGGGCUACACACGUGCUACAAUGGCGGUGACAAUGGGAAGCCAGGUCGCGAGGCCGAGCCGAUCCUAAAAAGCCGUCUCAGUUCAGAUUGCACUCUGCAACUCGGGUGCAUGAAGGUGGAAUCGCUAGUAAUCGCGGAUCAGCACGCCGCGGUGAAUACGUUCCCGGGCCUUGUACACACCGGUACUA